rnacentral:rRNA from 1 species
AGAGUUUGAUCAUGGCUCAAAUUGAACGCUGGCGGCAUGCUUUACACAUGCAAGUCGAACGGGGUGGCGGGGCAACCUCGCCAUUCAGUGGCGAACGGGUGAGUAAUGCAUCGGAACGUGUCCCGUAGUGGGGGAUAACGCCGCGAAAGCGGCGCUAAUACCGCAUACGCUCUGAGGAGGAAAGCAGGGGACCCUGAGGGAAGGCCUUGUGCUAGGGGAGCGGCCGAUGUCCGAUUAGCUAGUUGGUGGGGUAACGGCCUACCAAGGCUGCGAUCGGUAGCUGGUCUGAGAGGAUGAUCAGCCACACUGGGACUGAGACACGGCCCAGACUCCUACGGGAGGCAGCAGUGGGGAAUUUUGGACAAUGGGGGCAACCCUGAUCCAGCCAUGCCGCGUGCGGGAAGAAGGCCUUCGGGUUGUAAACCGCUUUUAGCCGGGAAGAAAAGGCGCGGGCUAAUACCCCGUGUUUUUGACGGUACCGGCGGAAUAAGCACCGGCUAACUACGUGCCAGCAGCCGCGGUAAUACGUAGGGUGCGAGCGUUAAUCGGAAUUACUGGGCGUAAAGCGUGCGCAGGCGGUUCGUUGUGUCGGUGGUGAAAGCCCCGGGCUCAACCUGGGAAUGGCCAUGGAAACUGGCGAACUGGAGUGUGGCAGAGGGGGGUGGAAUUCCGCGUGUAGCAGUGAAAUGCGUAGAGAUGCGGAGGAACACCGAUGGCGAAGGCAGCCCCCUGGGCUGGCACUGACGCUCAGGCACGAAAGCGUGGGGGAGCAAACAGGAUUAGAUACCCUGGUAGUCCACGCCCUAAACGAUGUCAACUAGGUGUUCGGGAAGCGAUUUCUGAGUACCGUAGCUAACGCGUGAAGUUGACCAAUCACUA